UACGUAGGGUGCAAGCGUUAAUCGGAAUGACUGGGCGUAAAGGGUGUGUAGGCGGUUUGUUAAGUCUGAUGUGAAAUCCCCGGGCUCAACCUGGGAACUGCGUUGGAAACUGGCAAACUAGAGUACGGAAGAGGGGGGUGGAAUUCCACGUGUAGCAGUGAAAUGCGUAGAGAUGAUGGAGGAACACCGAUGGCGAAGGCAGCCCCCUGGGACGAUAACGUGACGCUGAGGCACGAAAGCGUGGGGAGCAAACAGG
rnacentral:rRNA from 1 species